UCUGGCCUUGGCCCAGGUGUCAGGAUCCUGCCAGCUCCAGGCUGGGGGCUGUGUCUGCCCCGACGUAGUUGGAAAACUGGAAUCUGAGCAACCGUGAGCUCCAGGCAGAAGAAUUUCGGCAGUUACGCUGCACCCUGGCAAGAGGAUUGUAGGCUCAAUGCGAAGAGCUAGUGAUUUUGCCAACUUCCUGGAUGUUCGUUCCUGGUCCUGCACCAAACAGCCACAUUUCCUUUUGGAACCGGGACCAGGACAGAGGCGGCGGCAGACACGGGACGUUGUGAGUACUCCGUGGUCCUCUCCCGCGUCGCCCUGACCCCGUGGCCCCUCCGGUCCCUUCCUGCCUCCCUCUCUUUAUCUACCAGUUAACGUUCCCGGAGCUCGGAGCUCGCCCGAACUCACGCUGCCAGCCCUCAGCACCACAGCCUCCACUUUGAGGGAAAGAGACUACAACUUCCACACAAACAUCGGCUGGGGGGGUGUGUGUGCUUACCAAUUGCAGUGCCUUCAAUGUUCAUUUUAAGGUUCCGAAAGAUGGAGAAAGUAAACAGAAGCAGGCUGGUUUAUUUCAGGGGCUAGCAGUGAGUCCCUACUGGCUUUACCUAAUAAAACACAUUUUAAAAAUUU